rnacentral:rRNA from 1 species
CCUACGGGUGGCAGCAGUGGGGAAUAUUGCUCAAUGGUGGGAACCCUGAAGCAGCAAAGCCGCGUGAGGGAUGAAGGUUUUACGAUUGGAAACUCCUUUUGUGAGGGGAGAUAGUGACGGUAUCUCACGAAUAAGGACGGGCUACCUGCGUGCCAGCAGCCGCGGUCAUACGGAGGGUGCAAGCGUUACUCGGAAUCACUGGGCGUAAAGGGUGCGCAGGCGGGCUUGUAAGUCAGAUGUGAAAGCCUGUAGCUUAACUACAGAACUGCAUUUGAAACUAUGAGUCUAGAGUGUGGGAGAGGUAGGUGGAAUGCUUGGUGUAGGGGUAAAAUCCGUAGAUAUCAAGAGGAAUACUCAUUGCGAAGGCGACCUACUGGCACACUACUGACGCUCAUGCACGAAAGCGCGGGGAGCAAACAGGAUUAGAUACCCCUGUAGUC